GUGGGGAAUAUUGGACAAUGGGCGCAAGCCUGAUCCAGCCAUGCCACGUGAGUGAUGAAGGCCUUAGGGUUGUAAAGCUCUUUCAGUGGGGACGAUAAUGACGGUACCCACAGAAGAAGCCCCGGCUAACUUCGUGCCAGCAGCCGCGGUAAUACGAAGGGGGCUAGCGUUGUUCGGAUUUACUGGGCGUAAAGCGCACGUAGGCGGAUCGUUAAGUCGGGGGUGAAAUCCUGGAGCUCAACUCCAGAACUGCCUUCGAUACUGGCGAUCUUGAGUCCGGAAGAGGUGAGUGGAACUCCUAGUGUAGAGGUGGAAUUCGUAGAUAUUAGGAAGAACACCAGUGGCGAAGGCGGCUCACUGGUCCGGUACUGACGCUGAGGUGCGAAAGCGUGGGGAGCAAACAGGAUUAGAUACCCCAGUAGUCC
rnacentral:rRNA from 1 species